rnacentral:rRNA from 1 species
CACGGGGGGAGCAAGCGUUGUUCGGAAUCACUGGGCGUAAAGGGCGUGUAGGCGGUUCGGUAAGUGGAAUGUGAAAUCCCUCGGCUCACCCGAGGACCUGCAUCCCAAACUGCCGAGCUUGAAUAUGGGAGAGGAUGAGGGAAUUCCUGGUGUAGCGGUGAAAUGCGCAGAUAUCGGGAGGAACACCUAUGGCGAAGGCAGCUCGCUGGGACGUUACUGACGCUGAGACGCGAAAGCGUGGGGAGCAAACAGG